AACAACGGUGUACCGCGGAGUA
rnacentral:siRNA from 1 species